rnacentral:lncRNA from 1 species
UUCACCCCCCCUCCCUUUUGGAUUGCAUAGCUGGAUAACAGAGGAUUAAAUAAAAUCUAAUUGAAUUAGAUUUAAUUAGGUUUGGCCUGAUUAGGUUAUGAGAUGAUCUAAUCGCUAAGGGAGAAUUAUCCCUGAUUUGAUCAGAACUUUGGUUCAAUCAAUUUUUAAUUUGAUUGAAAUUUGAUUAAAAAUUUAUGAACCUAAUUAGAUUAGAUUUUAUAUAUUUUAUUUGGACUAAACCAUAUGUGAUUUGGUUUGGAUUCAAAUAAGAAAAUUAGGAGUC